AGCCUAAUUUGAGCGAGCCCAGCAAUACUCAAGCUCAGCUUGAAGUAAAUUUUGAAUUUUUUUUUUCUAUUCAACCUCAGCUUAUUUAAUUUUUGAGUCGAACUCAAACGAGCUGAAUACUGAGCCGAACAUGAGUCGAACACAAGCCAGCUCGCUUAUUUGCCGGCCCUAGCAUUGUUUCGAGAGUCGGAGUUUUUAUAGGCAGAUAGUGGAAGAUCGAAAUAAAUCCAUAGAACGAACCGCUAGGGACCUGUUUGUUUCACCGAAAUUGGACUUUGACUGAAAGUGGAAUUUGAUGAAAACUAGUCUUCUAUUGUUUGUUCAUAGCUAUGGAAAUGAAGUUCCUUCAAUUCUGAUGUUUAUUUUAGCAGAAAGCGAAUAAUAUAAAAUUAUAAUUUAUGUAUAAAUAAUAAAUUAUAAUAUAAUAAAUAUAAAUAAUAUAAUUAUAUUUCUGUAUAAUUAAAAAAAUUAAACUAAAAUAACUAAAUUAUUUUUUUAUGCAUAAAUUAUAAUAAUACAACAAUAAAAUUAUAAUGUAAUAUAUAUAUAUAUACUUAACUAAUUAAUUUUCAUCAUAACUAAAUGAAGUAAUAAAACUUAACUAAUCAAAUUUUAUCAUAUUUUAAAUAUACAAACUAAAUAAAAAAAUAAUUAGUCUCAUAAUUAAAUAUAUUUAAAUAUAACUAGCANUAUAUAUAUAUAUAUAUAUAUAUAUAUAUAUAUAUAUAUAUAUAUAUAUAUAUAUAUAUAAUUAUAACUAGCAUUACGUAUUGUAUUAUUUUAUUAUUUUUUUCUUUAUCUCUCUUCAUCAUAAUUGACUUCAGCCGAGGGUAGGCCGAAGUCAAUUACGCUGUUUCGGAUAACUCGAGUAUUAACCAUAUCUUUAUUACUGCAAAACAAAUAGUAAAAAUGAUCAUUUACUGCCGAAAACGAUUUCACCUC
rnacentral:lncRNA from 1 species